rnacentral:rRNA from 1 species
UUUGACCUCGAAUCAGGUAGGACUACCCGCUGAACUUAAGCAUAUCAAUAAGCGGAGGAAAAGAA